rnacentral:lncRNA from 1 species
CUGGUUUUGCUUUCAUAGGUCUUUUCUGCCUGCUUGACUGGGCACAACUGGGACUGGUCUUACAAGAAGCUACCAAUAAACCUCAGAGAUUGUAUACUAAGGUGUGACUGUACCAUCAACUUUAAAAAAGCAGCAACA